rnacentral:misc_RNA from 1 species
GGAUGGAUCAUUCCUGAUUUGAACAUUCAACCUCUGGCUACUCUACAUUCAAAUACUCUUGAAUUCAAUUACAGACAAAUCAAAACUUUUGGCGAUGGAUGACUCGACUCUCGUAACGAGGAAGGACGCAGCAAACUGCGAUAAGCAUUAUGACUUGCGAACACUCGUGAAUCACUCGAUUUCUGAACGCAAUUGUACUCUUGGACUUGUCUUCGAGUAUGUUUGGUUCGGCAUCUUAUAGAUAUGACGUAGUUGAUUGGUGCUUUCAGGCCUUGGCCCGUCUGCAUUAUGGAAUCAUUGACUCUUCGAUUAUACCUAUAGUAUUACUGUGGGAUUCUCGAAGUGUUAAAGUCUAUUUUAUUCGAGAUCCGAGCUCAAACAAGGUUACCCGCUGAAUUUAAGCAUAUAAUUAAGCGGAGGAAAAGAAACCAACAGGGAUUCCCUUAGUAGUGGCGAACGAAACGGGAUCGGCCCAAGAUGUGAAUCCAGUUCCGGCUGGAAUUGUGCAUCAUGUCAACGCCAGCGACAGCUUCUAGAUAAGAUGUCAGGAAAGAUAUGCCAAAGACGGUGAUAGCCCGGUCUGUGCUAGAAGUCUGGAGCGUACGGUGUUGACAAAAUGAGUCACGCUCUUUGGGAGUAGAGCGCAAAAGUGGUGGUAACCUCCAUCAACGGCUAAAUACUGACGAGAGAUCGAUAGCAAACAAGUACCGUGAGGGAAAGUUGAAAAGCACUUCGAAAGGAGAGUUAAAAUACCUGAAAUCGCUAAAAGGGAAGCGACUGUUUGUGAUCCGCUUGCCUGUUAGGCUCGACCUGACAAUCUUACUAAUUGGCAUAGCUUCAUUGAUAUGUCAACUAGGAAAGAUUAAGUCGAAGUCCUUCCGGCAAAGCUUGGCAACACUUCAUCAUCCUCUCCGUCCUGUAAAGCUUGCUUUACUCGAUACCUUAGAAUGAUGGAGUGAAGACUACCAAUCGCAAGUUGCCAAUAAGUGACACAAACAGGCGACCCGUCUUGAAACACGGACCAAGGAGUUAAACAUGUGUGCGAGUGUAAGAGUGUUAAACUCAUACGCGCAGUGAAAGCAACAACGGUAAAUACCAAUACAACCGUGGCCGACUAUUAAGUUCGAGCUUGAGCAUAUUUGUUUAGACCCGAAAGAUGGUGACCUAUACCUGAGUUGGGUGAAGCCAGGGGAAACCCUGGUGGAAGCUCGUAGCGAUACUGACGUGCAAAUCGUUCGUCGAACUUGGGCAUAGGGGCGAAAGACUAAUCGAACCAUCUAGUAGCUGGUUCCCUC